GCAGUGAGCGAGCGAGCGAGCAUGCGCAGUACCAAUAUGUCUGCCGUGAGAAAAGGUCUAUUAAUGAGAAAUAAGCCGCCAAAACUGAGUUAGCUAACGGACAUAAAAAUAGACUUUUAAUUGUUUUUUUCCUGACCCAAAAAGUCUAAACCAGCAGGGGGGCGAGUUUCUGUAGCAGCCGAGGAAACAGUUGAGGCAGAGGCGAGUGCAACAAGUCAUGCUUUACACACUGAAGGACCAGCUAGUUGCAUAACUGGGUGUCCAGCUGACCUUUGAGAGAAACAUCACUUGCAAGUGCACUAAUGACUGGAAGGAUGUUAUCCUGAGAUGGUUCAACACCUACGCUGGCUGCCCUUAGCAGUUUAAAUGAGUUGCUGUGAUAUUUCUCUUCUGUCCCGCCACUCUGCCUCCACAAAAGCUAAUUGUGUGAGAUUAUGCUGUCUGCCUCACGUCAUUGGUAGUACAUU